rnacentral:rRNA from 1 species
CCUACGGGUGGCUGCAGUGGGGAAUAUUGGACAAUGGGCGAAAGCCUGAUCCAGCCAUGCCGCGUGUGUGAAGAAGGCCUUCGGGUUGUAAAGCACUUUCAGUGGGGAAGAAAGCCUUGGGGCUAAUACCCUCGAGGAAGGACAUCACCCACAGAAGAAGCACCGGCUAACUCCGUGCCAGCAGCCGCGGUAAUACGGAGGGUGCGAGCGUUAAUCGGAAUUACUGGGCGUAAAGCGCGCGUAGGCGGUCUGAUAAGCCGGUUGUGAAAGCCCCGGGCUCAACCUGGGAACGGCAUCCGGAACUGUCAGUCUAGAGUGCAGGAGAGGAAGGUAGAAUUCCCGGUGUAGCGGUGAAAUGCGUAGAGAUCGGGAGGAAUACCAGUGGCGAAGGCGGCCUUCUGGACUGACACUGACGCUGAGGUGCGAAAGCGUGGGUAGCAAACAGGAUUAGAUACCCGGGUAGUC